rnacentral:rRNA from 1 species
AUACGGAGGGUGCAAGCGUUAAUCGGAAUUACUGGGCGUAAAGCGUACGUAGGCGGUCCGUUAAGUUAGAUGUGAAAGCCCCGGGCUUAACCUGGGAACUGCAUUUAAAACUGGCGAACUAGAGUUGAGUAGAGGGGAGUGGAAUUUCAGGUGUAGCGGUGAAAUGCGUAGAGAUCUGAAGGAACACCUGUGGCGAAGGCGACUCCCUGGACUCGAACUGACGCUGAGGUACGAAAGCGUGGGUAGCAAACGGGAUUAGAAACCCUAGUAGUCC